rnacentral:rRNA from 1 species
UCCACGCAGUAAACGAUGAAUGUUAGUCGUCGGGAUGCAAGUCAUUUCGGUGAUGCAGUUAACACAUUAAACAUUCCGCCUGGGGAGUACGGUCGCAAGAUUAAAACUCAAAGGAAUAGACGGGGACCCGCACAAGUGGUGGAGCAUGUGGUUUAAUUCGAAGAUACGCGAAGAACCUUACCUAGCCUUGACAUUGAUAGAACACAGUAGAGAUACAGUGGUGCCCUUGGGG